AGAGAGAGAGAGAGAGAGAGAACGGGCGAGCGGCGCGCGUCAGCCCAGCUGGGCGCGAGAGGCCAAAGUGGCCGGGUGGCGGCAGCGGGCUCCCAACUUGCAGGCUCCGGUCCCCUGCCCCCAUCGAGCGGCCUCCCGCCGAGCCCCCGCGGACCCGCCCCCCCGGGCUCGCUCCGGGCGGGGCGCGAACCCGCAGCCCGCGCGGCCGCUCAACUUCGCAGGGCCUAGGCGGCAGCGGCGACAGCAAGCUCGGUGGCCGAGUCUGAGCCUCCACCGCAACCGGUGGCUCCGGCCUCUCCGGCGCUUCGCCUGGGGAGGCACCGCCGCCCGACCCCCUGCGCGGAUCUGGGGAGCGUCCUGAGGCCGCUCGACAGACAAGAUUAGACCUCAGACUUGCCAUGUAACAAAGGAUGACUUUAGAACUUUUGCUCUUCCUGUCUCCAUCUCCCAAGUGCUUGGAUUCUAGCCACCAUACCUUCAUUAUAGUACUGGGGAUUCAAACCAGAGCAAACAAGCUGACAACUAAGUUUCCUUUCUGUUGUGAGAAAUACCAUAACCAAAAGCAACAUGAGGAGGAGAGACUGAUUUGGAUUGUUCCUGAUCAUGGUUGAUCAUUGAAGGAAGUCAGAACAGAAACUCAGAAGCAGGCAGGAACCAUGAUGGAAAGCAGUCUGCCUGGCUUGCUCAACUUUCUUUCUUAGCCACCUGUCCAGGGGUAAGUGGAUGGGCCCUUCCACAGCAUCUUUAAUCAAGGAAAUGUACCCAAACCCCACAACAUCUAAUAAAAAAGCCAUGCCAUGGUUCUCACAGCUUUAAUUUUAGGGUUCAGAAGGCAAAGCAGGUAGAUCUCUAUGAGUUCCAGGCUAGCUAAGGCCUGUCUCAAAAAACCCAGACUAAAACAAAACAAAAAGAAAGAAAAUGUCCUGCAGACAUGCCCAUAGACCACACUGAUGGAGGCAGUUCCUUAGCUGAGUUUCUUCCUCCCAGGGUUGUAUAGGUCUCUGUGGAGUUGGCAGAAACGAACCAGCACAGUGGCCUCAGGUGGGUUCUUUGAGUUGAUUUUACGUUUUGGGUGUUGUUUGUCCUGAGCCAUUGGCUGUGCUUUGGCCAACUCUAUUUGUUUCCUACACAGUUUAAAUACAACAAAUUAAACACCAGUCUUGCCCUUCAAAAUAAUUUCCUACACAGCAGCUAACUUUGAAACAGAUGAGAAGAGUUUCCUACGCAGUGCUUUAGUUGUUUUUCUCUGGAGGGGAUAUUAAUAACCAGCACUUCCUUUUGUAUUUUUCAUUUGCAAAUAAUGACUUUAAA